GCCUUUUGUACCGAUCAAGCUAAUGAAGACUUUCUUCUCUUUACUGUCUCUUCCUCCAGAAGAAGCAAGACCAGCAACACUGCCCUUUCCUUCCCCAGAAUCUGACACAAACUGGUCCACAUAUUGCCAUUUAAGGGGUUCAUCUGCAGAACUUUUCACCGGUAUCAUUCCAACAUGUCUCACUUUUAUGGACACUAUUUUCUUCGUACGAAUGAGGUUUAUCACUUCCUCGUGUGUGCAUGAUGAGAUGGAAUAUCCAUU
rnacentral:lncRNA from 1 species